CAAUCUUUCGGUACUGGAUGCUUAUUGGAUGAAGUGAUUUCUCUGUCCAAUCAGAAGCGAGAAGGUGUGUCUUUAGUGAGCCUCGGGUCUCACUUACAGGCAGAACAGAAAAAGACGAGCUAAGGAGUAGGAAGGCAUCAACGGUGACCAGUUUAGCUUCAAACUAAAAUACCUUGAUGCUGAGUCUACUUGCUUUGUUUGUGGAAACACGGUACAUUGGACCAGAGGAAUCCAGUCUCUUUAGACCCCGUCGGUGAACUUUGAAGUCCUCCAAAAGAGAUUCUGGCUGCUAUCCAGAAGAGGGCCUGUCCUCCCGCGCUGACUCAACUUCCUGCCUCAUGUGCGCCCAGCUCUGCUGACCUGCUAACCACGUGUGGAGCCACCUGAACAUCUACUGCUCUCCAUUCACUAAGCUGAAGUAUUCCUGAAGUGUGCACAGCUUCACGCCACACAGAUGAUAAAGUCGGAAAAGACCCAAACCACAUGGAUUCCUUUCUGAGCCGGCGGUUGAUGUGUUCAGGACCUGUGAGUUCAUGUUUUGAUGGUUCCAGCACAGUGUGCACCAAGCAUCUCCAACUUUACCUGAAUAAUUGAUUUAUUAAGCUCUUUCAUUAGUUGAACAUCAAUAUUUUAAAUCAGAGCAGCAUGUGAUUUGCUCAACAUAAAUUUUUUUUGCCUUUUAUCAUUAAAUAAAUCAAUACAUUUAAAAAAAUCAACAAACUUUCAGUUAAAUUUUGACAGAAAUUAAUAAAAUAGAUUUAUACUACAAAUAUAAAGGAAUAUAUUGAAGAAAGCUGUGCUUUUGAAUUUAUAUGACAAGUAUGUUACAUUAUUUGGUUGCUACUGUCAGGAACUAGUGCUAGGAACCAAAAUGCAAGAGACGCCAGGUGGUGGAAAACCACAACCUUACAAAAUCGAUGGUGAACCAAAAAGGGGACAAAAGACAUGACAAUAAAGAACUAAAAACCAGAUUCUUGUAGUAAAUACACUGAAGAUCAUUACCACAAAUCAAGUAUUAAUGAUUGUUAACCUAAACCUGGUGCGUCUGACAGAAGGACAACUGAACAAGACCAAAAAUGUUCAGCACAACUGACAAAUACAAACUAAAGCACAGAGUCCUUACAGCUAUUAUUUUUGUUUAGAUUAGACUGUUUGUUGGCAAAAGUAAACAGAGUGGUAUGUAGUUCAUCAAGGAAAGCACAAAAAAGCCCAUAUAAUUCUCCACUAUCUCCUACUUUAAAUUACUAUUUUAAAGAUUCUCGCAGGUUGGUUAAAAAUGACCUUCAACUUUAUAAUUACUGUGUUUUGUUUAGACAAGUUCAUCCAUUCAUUUUCUAAAACUGCUCAAAGCCUUUUGGCAUCAUAGGGUUGCUGGAGCCUAUCCCAGCUAUUUUUGAAAGCACGCUGGACACGACAGGUUCCCAGUCCGUAGCACAGUAAAACACAGAUCACACAUGUGCAUAAGUGUCCGGAGAAUAACCCCAUGUGCACAAGAACAUGCUAACUCCACGCAGAAAGGACCCAGCAGGGAUUUGAAUUAGAGCCAUCUUGCUGUAAGGUGGUAGUGCUAACUAAUACAUUUCCAUGGAGCCACAUAUCAAACCUAAUAUUUUACCUAAUAAUAAAUGUAAACAUUUCUAUCAAUGGAGGCUCGGUCUUUAAAUUAGUUCUUCCUUUGGCUAUCAUAAACACAGGGAUUUGGUCAUGUUGUAGGCUAUGCUGUCAAGAUCUCAACAAGUAAUAUAAAAAAAUACCCUCAACAAUCUAAAGUCUUAGUUCACACUUUUUACUGUAGUCUAUAAUAAAAGCAAUAUCCCUUGAAAUAAAAAAAAGUCCUCACAUUUACCGUAUUUUCUGCGCUAUUUAGCGCACCAAUUUAUAAAGCGCACCUUCAAUAAAUGGUCAAUUUUCAAGCUUAACAAGGCGCACCAAACUAUUAGACACAUUAAGUCAGACAAAAAAGUCGCAGAUAAGACCAGCAGUCAGACUUUAUUAACUGCGUUCACAGUAAAUUUAGAAUUUGUUCGUAGCUAACUCAUCGUUUAGCUCCAUUAGCAGAGUUAGUUUAUUUAUAGUCCUUCUCCACCUUGUCUGCAAUAUGUUAUAAAACAGACUGAUGCAACAAAAACAAACAUUACUGUAACUACACCAAGUUCCAACCUUAUUAGUAACACGUAAAAACCCAAAGCACAGUCUGACACCGCUACAUGCUAGCUGUGUUAGCUUAAAGAAAAAGACAUUUUGACAGAGCGCCAUCUGUCAAAAUCGCUUCAACAUCCGUAACCACAACCAGAAUUAAGCUAUAUUUAAGGUGCUCCAGAUUAUAAGGCAUCCUGUCGUUUAAAAAAAAAGAGGCUUUUGAGUGCAGAAAAUAACAUAUUAUUAAACCUAAUUUAUUUUUUUCUGUUCAACCCCAUUACAAAUUCUAUUUAAAUACAAUAGACAUUCUCUAAUUAACUUAUCUGAACUUUAUUGAUACUUUUACAGAUACUUGUGAUACCCAUUAUUCUCCAUGUGAAUGUCUCUUAGCAUCAUUUCAAAGUGGCUGAGUUCCACUUUUCAUGACACCAACAGCACAUUGAUCAUGAAACGGUCACUCACCGCUGACCUGGCAGUGUCUUUUUGCUCCAGUCUCUGUAACAUGAAGCCACAUCUGCAGACCUCGCAGUCAUGUGUUGUUCAUUAGCCUGUGUGGCUCCUGCACCUGUUGAUCCUUUCGUUAAAAGGCUAUAUGAGCCACAAGGGGCCAGCAGCCACCAGGGAGUUUGAAACACACCUGUGCCCCGGUGCUCAGCUGUUAGAGGUGGAAACACUAUUUCCUUUAUGGAAUAACAUGCUCUUACCUUCCCAUAGAAAUAUCUCAUUUGCUGUAUUUUUGGGAGGCCUGUUUAUAUGUCUGUUUUUAUUUGUUGGAUAUUAUGAUUUUGCCAUGGGACAUUUCUAAAAAGCAAAAUUAUUUUAAGACGUCUAAAUUUUUGCUCAUGCAGUUUUCACGGAUGGUUCGAACCUGUGUCAACAAAUAUUUGUGUGUUGACUUACUGUGAAACCAUAGGAAUGUUUAGCUGUUAGCCCAUUUAGGCUUUAGCUUGUAUGACUGCUAGCCUAAUAAACCAUUAGCCUUUUAAAUGUUAGCCAGUUUUACCAUUGGUCACGAUUACCAUUAGCCUGUUAGAACAAUUGCUAUUUAUAGUACUGUGUUAAAUGUUCUUAGGCUAACAACAGUUUUAUUUUUACCGCAACUAAAGCCUUAGUCACAACUACCCUUAUGGGUGGAUACAAGUUUUAUGCGGGCAAACAAAAGGCAAAACUGGUAUGCUGGUGGCCUACACGAAAGGUCAUAGACCACUCAGUGAGACGGUUCAGGGAAAAUGCUCAUGUAAAUUUUUUACUGUGGGCAUGCUAAGGGUAACAGGUCAUAGCAAGCACUAAUGCUACAUAUGAGGUAAGUAAGAGUAAAGUUAGUGCACUCCCCUUAAAAAGCAGCCACUCUUUUCUAUCACCCCCUACAGGCCUUGCAUACAUCCAUCUACUUGCAUCGACAGCACCUGAAGCCCCUAUACCGGUGCAUGUGACCAAUGCUAAAAAAUAUUGCCUGCAAUUCUAUAGACACUAUUAAGUUAGCUGUCAUACACUUUGAUGUAUGAAAUUUGUUUUCUGCAUUUGUCCCAUCCCCUGAGGGAGUGGUAAGCUGCAGACACAGCCACACUUGGGAACCAUUUGGUGGUUUAACCCCCCAAAUCCAACCCCUUUAUGUUGAGUGUCAAAACAGCAAGGUGUUGGGAACCAUUUUCAGAGUAUCUGGUAUGACGUAUGACUUGGCCUGGAUUUGAAAUCAUGACCUUCCAGUCUCAGUGCAGACACUUUACCACAAGGCCACUGCCAUAAAUAUAUAAUAAAUUUUGUAAAAAAAAAAAAAAAAAAAA